rnacentral:rRNA from 1 species
UGGGGGAUAUUGCACAAUGGGCGAAAGCCUGAUGCAGCGACGCCGCGUGGGGGAUGAAGGCUUUCGGGUUGUAAACCUCUUUCGCUAUCGAACAAGGCCCGCUUAGGGUGGGUUGAGGGUAGGUGGAGAAGAAGCGCCGGCUAACUACGUGCCAGCAGCCGCGGUAAUACGUAGGGCGCGAGCGUUGUCCGGAAUUAUUGGGCGUAAAGGGCUUGUAGGCGGCUUGUUGCGCCUGCUGUGAAAACGCGGGGCUUAACUUCGCGCGUGCAGUGGGUACGGGCAGGCUUGAGUGUGGUAGGGGUGACUGGAAUUCCAGGUGUAGCGGUGGAAUGCGCAGAUAUCUGGAGGAACACCGAUGGCGAAGGCAGGUCACUGGGCCAUUACUGACGCUGAGGUGCGAAAGCAUGGGUAGCGAACAGG